CCUACGGGCGGCAGCAGUGAGGAAUAUUGGUCAAUGGGCGGAAGCCUGAACCAGCCAAGUCGCGUGAGGGAUUAAGGCCCUGCGGGUCGUAAACCUCUUUUGCCGGGGAGCAGUGGUCCGGACGCGUCCGGACCGGGAGAGUCACCGGAGAAAAAGCAUCGGCUAACUACGUGCCAGCAGCCGCGGUAUUACGUAGGAUGCGAGGGUUAUUCGGUGUUAUUGGGUUUAAAGGGUGCGUAGGCGGGCAGUUAGGCCGGCGGGAAAGUGUCGGGGCUCAACCCCGGCCUGCCGUCGGAACUGGGUGCCUUGAGUGGGCGAGAAGUAUGCGGAAUGCGUGGUGUAGCGGUGAAAUGCAUAGAUAUCACGCAGAACCCCGAUGGCGAAGGCAGCAGACCGGCGACCUACUGACGCUGAGGCACGAAAGUGCGGGUAUCGAACAGGAUUAGAUACCCUAGUAGUC
rnacentral:rRNA from 1 species